AAAGAAACUAACAAGGAUUCCCCUAGUAACGGCGAGUGAACCGGGAAGAGCUCAAAUUUGAAAUCUGGCGUGCUCAGUGCGUCCGAGUUGUAAUCUAUAGAGGCGUUUUCCGUGCCGGACUGUGUCCAAGUCCCUUGGAACAGGGUAUCAAAGAGGGUGAUAAUCCCGUACUUGACACAAUGACCGGUGCUCUGUGAUACGUCUUCUACGAGUCGAGUUGUUUGGGAAUGCAGCUCAAAAUGGGUGGUGAGUUCCAUCUAAAGCUAAAUAUUGGCGAGAGACCGAUAGCGAACAAGUACCGUGAGGGAAAGAUGAAAAGCACUUUGGAAAGAGAGUUAAACAGUACGUGAAAUUGUUGAAAGGGAAACGAUUGAAGUCAGUCGUGACUGAGAGGCUCAGCCGGUUCUGCCGGUGUAUUCCCCUCAGUCGGGUCAACAUCAGUUUUGUUCGGUGGAUAAGGGCAGUUGGAAGGUGGCACCCUCGGGUGUGUUAUAGCCAGCUGUCGCAUACAUCGGAUGAGACUGAGGAAUGCAGCUCGCCUUUAUGGCCGGGGUUCGCCCACGUCGAGCUAGGAUGUGACAA
rnacentral:rRNA from 1 species